UAUUUGCGUGUUUAUGAUUUCUGCAUUCUGCAAUCGACUCAUGACAAGAGCCAUGUACGAUAUAGUUUCCUUCUCCAUACUAUCGUCACUUUAUGUCACGAACUAUUACUUCUCUGUCAUGAUUUUCUGUGUGAUAUGACGUCAUAAAGUAUUGUUUGUCAUUCAUAUAAUUAGCAAACAACAAAAACUCCAUUCAGAUUAUGGAAGAGUGCAGGAGAAUUUUUCUUUGUUAUUUUUAUACAGCCACACGUCAACUCUGACCGAAUAGAUUUACGCUGAAACACAUUCAUGCUAUGACUAACCUGUCGUUUUGGCUGUAUAUAGAACACUUUAUCUAACAUAUCCUUCUUUUCAUAGAGACAUGUCGGUAUAAAAUCUGGCUUACAUAGCACUUGAGUAUUAACGAAUGAAACUAUAACCACCAUCAUUCCAGUCGUGAUCACCCAAUGCUUUCAUCCAGAUAUUGUUCCUAAGAUUAAACCCAAUAUAACCUAAUAUUAUUGUCGAAUAUGGCAUGUAACUAAGAGUAGCAUAUGGCUGUUAUUUCACGGAAAUUUUGCUCUUAUUUUUCGCAGUAACAAUGCCAUUUUUGUUGACUACGUUUGUCAAUGUGGUUGAUGUGCUUGUGCCAGAAAAUAUCGUCUAUACGCGUCAGGUCACCCAUAAAAUUUGGAUAUGAUUUAAUAUUAUUUCAUUCAUUCAGCAUAGUUGAAUUUUCCUUUUUACCUGCGGGCUCUCAAUCGAAGAAAGUGUACUGAAAAUCAAUAAAUUUGUUCGAAGAUCGUAAAGAGGAGUGGAAAACGAAGGAUGAUUAUCUUUAAAGCAGUACACGAUAGGUGUACACGUUCAAGGAAAACAAAGUUUAAACAAGGGCAGCGAUUUGUUUACAUAAGGACGUAUUGAGGUUAUCAAUUCUAAGUACUCAUCAGUAGAAAAACAGGAUUGUAGUAUGCUUCGAUAUGGAAAUGUUAUUCACCGGGAAAUGUCAAGUUUUGUGUGGUGCCGUGUUUACAUACGACUUUCACUUUUUGAGAAGAUUUAUAUGAAUAUACUCAGAAAUGAAAAUACCAACUAAGCGACAACUAUAGCUGAAAUCGAGUUUGUGAAGGUUGAAUGAUGAAAGAAACGCAAAACUCUACUGCACCCAUAUGAAUAUAUUUAAAGGUCGCAGAUCAAAAGAUUUCUGCAAAACAAAUUGCGAACCCUGGAGAGACCAUUCUAGAUAUAUAUUCAAGUUUUUUAAUAAUUAUUAGGAAAGAAAAUAAUGUAACAUUUCUGUUUUAUCAAAAUUUCCUUUUAUUAUUUUAUUUAGAGAAUUUUUGUACAGUAUUGGGAUAGGUGAAAAUGAAUAUGCAGAAGCGUAUGAAACAAAAAUAUUUUCUUCAUUCAGAAUCUUUUCAGAAUUUCAUUUUUUGAGACGGAAAACUUCUUAUCUUAUCUAUAGUGAAUGAUGAAAUCUUAAGGAGUGGAAAUAAAGUAAUUAGCCUUUCCCUAAAAUCAAAUAACUGAUAGCUAAUAAGGUGCGUCAUAUACGGCGAAAUUGUGUUAAAUCGGAGUUAAUCAGUGGUGAAGCAUUAUUGGUAUAAAUAUACGUUUAAUACAAGAAAUCAUAUUUCUCAAUGUAGAAUAAACAAUUUCCACUCAAACAAAUAGCACUGAAAACUGAGAUGGUCUGACAAAUAAAGUGAAUAACUACAGCAUAUGAAAUAAAAUACUGUUCGUCCCUCCUAACCACCCACGCACAAACAGAAAGGAGACAUCCCAUCCCCAAAGCCUGUGCAGAAACCUCACUACACACAUAUUCAUACACCUUGCUCCCCUUUAGUUUGCAUUCAGCACAGUUGUCGUUAUGUGCAGUCAUUCAACGUAAUAAAAGCCGCAACCAGAUCGACUUUGGAUCAGAAUAUAACUCCGUAAUCCAUUAAUGACCCAUUGAAUAAUUUAAUCCUAAAUGCUUUUAAAAUACCUGAACGUCUCCAUUUGUUAGCCCUUUCUUGACUUCUAUUACAAUUUAUACAUACAAAUGCAGUUCAAUUGAAAUUAAAUCGAAGUUUCAAUGUACGAUCACAACUGUAAAAGAGAUAACCAUGAACAAUGACACAAAAAACCGUAUUGAGACUACAUUUAAAUACACUUUCCGCACCAUGUUGCAGCUAUUUUUUUCAUCAAAGAGAAAGAAGGUGUUUAUUUGAUAUUAACUCGUUACAUUAUGACUUGCGUUAUACUUCGCCAGCUUUAAUUCUGCGCGAAGGAAAUGAAGCUCAUCAAAAUUUUAUACAGAUAUUCGUCUUCAUAAUUCAAAUACUUAUAUACAGCAUGCAAUGGGUAAAUUGUUGCCAUUUAAAACUUUUAAUUUCGUACAUGCCCAUUGAUCUUUUUUUUCUUUUCUAAUUUUGUCGACUACACAGUAUAGUAGGAUCAGUUGGGUAACAUCUGUAAGAAAACAGUAUCAUAACGCAAUUCAUUCUGUCAGUCAUUUGGAAACGACAUGUCGUACUACUGGCAUUCACGACGGAAGCUUCAGUACGAAUAUAUGGUGAACACAAACAUGUAUAUGGUGUCCCCAAAACAUGUACCGAGAGUAAUAUAAAUCAAACAUCGAGUCAAGAUCAUGGUGUUUGGAGUGAUCACCAGUUAUGUUGACGAUAUGCCUCCCUUCAUCUUUCCACAUAACCUCAGACUCUACUCGGAUGCUUAUAUCAAGUGCCUGGAGAAGGUAGUGCUGCCCUGGAUCAAGAGGGUGGCUGCUGGAAGAACUUAUGUCUGGCAACAGGAUUCUUAAAUCAUGCAACACAAGAAGGAGAACCCAGCUAUGGCUAUGAGACAAAUUCUGCAACCUAACUUUCCAGACUGCAAACCCCUUGAAAAUUUGAGCUGGGCGCAGUUGAGUGAGAGACUAACUAAACUCUUUGUCACACUAAAGAUGAGGUGAAGACAAGGAUUAUGGCAGCAUUCACCAACUUAGACCAUCCAGAAGACUAGCAGGGGAUUCUGAAGUGGCCUGGAGUCCGUGGUUAAAGCCAAUGGCGAUUUUAUUCAAUAAAUUUACUCUUUCGUAUUUCAAGAUAUUCGUAUGGCAUUUUCGUAAAUAUAUCUGUUAAAAUGAGAUGUCAGUAUUAUUUUCAUUUUUGCGUAAUUUCGACGGCAAUAUAAUCACGGUGCUCUAUAAAAAUAAGCAAUAAAAAACAAACUGGGAUUAAAAGGAAAUAAACGUGCUCAGAUGACGGAAACUUAAUGCGACACCUUAAUAUGUGACUGAUAUGUAUAUAUAUAGAUCGCUGUACAGCUCCAUUCCGCAUCAGCAAACAAGCAUCAAGUUGCGUUGCUUUCUCCGACAUUUACAAACACGUUUCGCGCAUCAUCUCACGUGGGCUUUCUUUAUUGUAUUCUUCAUUACGUUAUCGAUACGAAUCACCCUUACCCCCACUUACUCUCACGAUUCCCUCUACAUCACCCUCGUCCACCGAUAACCUUGAAAACACAUAAUUCUCCAUGAUGCUACUGCACAAAAUAUGCUUACUAAUGAUUCCUUAUUUUAAGAGCAAUAAAGUCAUCAACUACUUUAUUCCUAUGCACACUGGCGAACAUCAGUUGAGACUGUACAUCAGGCGUUUCAAUUGCGAAAGUAUAAGAAGAGUUUAAAAAGACAUGAACACUGAUAUACGCUGACUAACUAACGCAAAUCACACGUAUGGUGCAAUUUUUAAAUUUCUUAUUACUUUCUCACGGCACUUUUAAUAUAAGAUUGAGUGUAAAACGACAUUGCAUUCAAAUUCUCGCGAUGUAGAAAUCUACAGUAAUAUUUUCUGACACUUUUAUAAUGCUAUUUCUGCUAAAUGUUUUUGUUUUUUUCGUUUGAGUAUAUCACUCGCCGUCUGGUAAUUAUAUGAGUAGUUACGUUCACCCUCAUAUGAAACCAGAUUUCUUUUUCUUUUUUUUCUGUAAGCCAAGAUAAAAGAGUUCACAAAAUGAUACAUAUAUACAUCGUAAGCUCAACGAUAAAAGAGACAAUCCUUUCCAAUAUAGGCACAGGGCUUGAAAUUUUUAGUGGGAGGAGGCUACUCUAUUGUAUCGACUCCAGUGCUCGACUCGUACUAAUUUUAUUGGCCCCCGACAGGAUGAAAGAAAACUUUACUUCCGCAGAAUCUGAACUUACAACGUACAUACAGAAGAAAUGCCGCUCAUCAUUUUGUCCGGAGUCGUAACGCUUAUGUCACCGCGAUACCUUUAAUAAUCAAAUAAACAACAAAACUGAAAUAAAGCGACAUCGUGCGUGAGAGAAACACACUAGUCAAAUCUAUGGCUCCUAUAUUUAUAGGGAGUAAAUUGAAAUCAAUUAUACAGAUGGUCCUGUCUCUACACAGAGUUUUGCAUUUAUAAGUCUGAAAGCACACUUCAAAAACGUUCAGCUUUCUUCUAUACACGCUUCAUCAUCAGAUAAGAGUCAUAUUGAAUGUAUUUCAGACAGCUGAAAUCGUGUCAAAUAACAGCAUAUCGUUAAUGGUUCUAUGCAAGAAACGUUUAAGUUAUUUUCAUUCCAAUGGAAUCUAAUCUUUUCCUGAACAAGAGCUUGAUCGACAUCGUUUUACACACUGAAAUAUCUACAACAAAAACACUCGCAAGAAAAACUACAGCACCAGCACCAGCAACAAAUACAACAAAAAGAGCCCCGCACAGUAUUGAUGUUCGUGCCCUAUUUCCAACUUCAUGAACGUAAUAGCUAAUUCGUUAUCUUCUGCGAAAUUUCGAGAAGAUAGUGGUUAGAAUUUCUGAUCAGGUAAAGGGGCCAUAUUUUAGUGAUCGUGAGGAUUUUCUCCUACGUUUCUCACAAUUUGUGGCUACGUUACAUUUAUUUUUAGUGCGUCUAUUUUUUGUUUCCUUGGUACACCAUGGCAGCUUCUCAGCUUUAUGAAGACAACAUUUCAUCGCCAUCAUCCAAAUUGAUGCGGCAGUGUUACAGGAAAUUGAGGGCAAGUUUCUUAGUAUUACCCUUCAUAUUCUUUCUCCUGCUUUGAAUGAGAAGAUCAUUUUCAUCGCCUGCCCAACAAACCAACCACAUAAAUUGUAUUUAAGUAACCAUAAUGUGACACGAGACCAUAAUGGCUUUUGAUGUUGGCUGGCAAUACAAGUGCAUCAUUUCUACAAAAGUUUUUGUUAACCCGAAUUAAACAUCUUUGAGUAUUCCGCCACGUCUGACACCAAGUUCAAGUUUCAUCAUAAAUCCAUUUAUUUCAACGAAACAUUUAUUACGUACGUGUCUGCGUGAAAUAAUCUCACAUCUCUAAUUUUUCUGCUCGAUUCUCUUCGUCGAUGGUCUUGAUGAACUAACAUAAAAUUCAUGUGCCAUUUCCUGAUAGUGAGAAAUCAUAUUGCUGCUUCAAUAUAUCAGAGCUUUCUUCAAAUGUCUUCGGGAGACUAGUCAGAAACUCAUCUAUAUUUCGGUUAUAGAAGUUAGAUCUGUUUCCUAUUCUUUGUACGUGGAAAAAUACUUAUAAUUCUUCAGUGGAAAUUUGCUCUCUUCAUCUUAUCUCUGGAGUUCUUACAAACACCAAAUCAUUUAGGUAGGAUCACAUGAGAAGGAUUUCUUGUUAGUUAUAGAACUUUUGUUUAUUUUUGGUGGGUAGAAAGUGUCACUGAGACAUUUUAUGUUUCUGCUCUGACUUCUAAAGUUCAAAGCUAGUUACUUAGAGGGAUUGUUUCCCGCUGUUCUAGGUGGCGUAUACUUUUGCAAAAGACAUGUGA